rnacentral:tRNA from 1 species
GUGGGUACCCAAUUGGUGUGGUAAGCGGUCUCCAAAACCGUGACCUGUAGGUUCGAAUCCUGCUACCCGCG